AUGGAGGGGUUUGAGGAGGUUGUGGGGGCUCCCUGGGCCUCUCCGGUGAGCUCACGCGACCCCUUUCUCAUCCUGCAACAACGGCUGCAGAACACUGGCAAAGCGCUAAAAAGAUGGCACUCUCAGCAUUGCUCUCACCUGACGAAGACACUUGAUAUUGUCAAUGAAUUAAUAUUCAGACUUGAUGCCGCAAGGGAUGUCAGACAGUUAACGCCACAGGAACACCGUUUCCGAAACUUCCUGAAGGUCCGGUGCCUUGGGAUUGCGGCGUUGGAAAGAGCAAUGUGGAGGCAACGAUCUAGGGUGACUUGGAUUAGGCUUGGUGACGCUGGGCAGGAGGACAAACUGAAGAUCGCAUGGGAUUUCUUCAACACCCUGAUUGGAACUCCUAAAGAGCGGGCCGCAGCCAUCAAUCUUCAAGCACUCGGGUACACACCUAUGCUGCAGCACCUGGCCGGCCUUGACGCCCUUAUUACCGAAGAGGAGGUGUUUGCAACCAUUAAUGAUAUGGCCAUGGAAAAGGCACCUGGACCUGAUGGAUACACCAUGUUGUUCUUCAGAGCAUGUUAG
rnacentral:rRNA from 1 species